rnacentral:rRNA from 1 species
UACAUGUGGGGUAAGCGUUGUUCGGAAUUACUGGGCGUAAAGGGCUCGUAGGCGGCCAACUAAGUCAGACGUGAAAUCCCUCAGCUUAACUGGGGAACUGCGUCUGAUACUGGAUGGCUUGGAUUCGGGAGAGGAAUGCGGAAUUCCAGGUGUAGCGGUGAAAUGCGUAGAUAUCUGGAGGAACACCGGUGGCGAAGGCGGCAUUCUGGACCGACAUUGACGCUGAGGAGCGAAAGCCAGGGGAGCAAACGGG